AUUCAUUUUCCUGCUAUACAUUAUUUUGCUCUCUUCAUAGGUAGAUGCAUAAAUGGUAAGGAUGAGGCAUGUCACAUGUGUGUUCCUGACCGUAGUGUUCUCAAGAGUGAUGUAUUAGGAGAUAGACAAUAUAACUUGGGGGCCAUUGUUGCACGUAGGUUGCAUAAUAAUAGUAUUGAUGGAGAUUUCUUUGGUGGAAUUUAUGCAACCCGUUUAGCUGAUUUUCUUGAGAUACCCAUAUGUGGAUAUGAUAUUGAGUUGCCUCCUGCUUAUUUAGAUUGUAAUGUCAUAGUUCGUCAUCAGUUUGUUGAGAGGAACAAUCAAUUCCUCCAGUACCGACUAAUCUUUGACACACGACGCACAUAUCACGUCGCUCUCCCUGCUCCUACCCUCUUUGACUUUCAGGCAAAAGGGAGAUAUGUUAUAACCAGGGAGGAGGCGACCCAGUACGAGAGGAGGACGGAGGCAGCUCGCCUCCAAGCUGCAGCUCGUCAGGCAAUAGCUGAUGCAUCUCAGUAUGACCCCAGCUUCAACUUCGGAUAUCCACCAGGCCAUCCAUGGGCAUAGACCAACUUAGGCUAAAAGCCUAAGCUUGUGUGAGUAUGUAUUUCUCACCGACAUUAAAUUCAUGUUCACACACUCAUGCUAGUUGUCGGUGCUCAUACUUUCUCAUUGUAUCAUCCAUGAUAGUUUAUUUCCUUUUUAGCUUUCUUCUUGUGUUCCUUAAUAAACCUUAAGAAAAACAAAAAAAAUAGUUAUAGCUUAGCUAGUUUACUUUCCAUGCCUGUAGUAGUAGUAAUUAAAAAGAAAACCCAAAAAGAGUUCUCGUUCUUCUUUUGCUUGUUGGGAGCUUUCCCGUGUAAAUAGUUUUGUUUCUUUUCUUUCAUCAUUUGGGGGUCGAGAGGAGAAGACCAUAAUGAAAAUAUUGAGUGGCUCUCAUAUGCAUUAUUGUUGAUCUAACAAAGAGCCCAUAUUACCUUGUCUUCUCUCUUGAAUUGGAUGCUUGCAGAUUCCAGCUUAGUCCAAUGCACGAGCACUAUUAUUAUUAUCCACACUAUUCGGUCGUGCAAAUGAAAGGCAAUAAUGAUGAUAUAUGAUGAACUCAUUGAGAUGAGGAAAGCUGGUAUGAACUCGACCUCUCUUGUUUUUGUACAUAUGAUCGGUCCAUCGUUCCUGAUUCAGCCUAUUAUGAAAGAAACAUAUUUGCAAUGACAAUUAGAGAUUAUAGUUUCUUAUGCCAUGCUUAAUUAGCUAGGAGCUUACAAUUGUUUACCUUGCGUGCCAACAUGCUAUUAAAAUUGUUGUGAUGUGGUAUGAUAGGGUGGUAUCCUCUUUUGAAUGAUUCGAGUGGCUUGACUUGGCACAUGUUCAUGCAUGUAGUUGAAACAAAAUCAACAUAGCCUCUACGAUAUUUAUGUUCACGAUGCAUUAUAUCCUACUCAUGCUUGCAUUCGGUGUUGAUUAAUUUUAAUGCAUGUUCAUGAAUGUUGUCGCCCUCUAGUUGGUCGCUUCCAAGUCUUUUUCUAGCCUUCACUUGUACUAAGAGGGAAUACUGCUUGUGCAUCCAACUCUAUAAAACCCAAAGUUGUUCCAUAUGAGUCCAUCAUACCUACCUAUAUACGGUAUCUACCUGCCGUUCAAAGUAAAUUUGUAUGUACCAAACUCUAAACCUUCAAAUAAACAUCUUGUUUUGUAUGCUCGAAUAUCUCAUGUAUCAACUAGGGUUGUAUGUAUCCUCCAUGCUAGGUGGGUUAUUCUCAAGAGGAGUGGACUCCGCUCCUCACUCACGAGAAAAUGGCUGGUCACCAGGAUGCCCAGUCCCAUGCUUUAAGAAAAUCAAAUCAAAAUAAUUGUAAACAAAACUCCCCCGGGAUUGUUGUUAGUUGGAGACACCCGUUGUUUCGGGCAAGCCAUGAAUUGAUGCUUGUUGGUGGUGGGGAGUAUAAACUUUACCAUUCUGCUUGGGAACUGCCUAGAAUGUGUGUAGCAUGGAAGAUAUCAAGAUCCACUACUAGGAAAAUGCCUAGUAGUAGCGCGGGUGCCUGCGCUACUACUACGGUGCUACAGCUAACUAGUAGUAGUAGCACGGUGCAUCCCGCGCUACUAGUACGUGUGUUAUUAGUAGCGCAUGUCUGUGACCCGCGCUACUACUAUUAAUUUGAAAAACCAAAAAAAUCUCGACCCCAUGACGCGCGCAUGUUGGCCGGGAGCAGGGAGAUCUCGUCCAUGACGCGUGCCUCAUGGAAGCCUCGAGAGCGGCCGCGGAGGCCAGCCCAGCGUGGUCCAGGAGCUGCAGGACUUGCAUCUUGGCACCGUGCGUGGGGAGCAACACCUCGCGGUGGCCGUCGCCGUUGAGGUCGGCGACGAGCGGCAGCAGGAGGCGGUCCACGUCUUCCGAUGAGAAGUCGCCCUCGUGCUGCCGGAGGAGGAGGGGGAUUAGUCAGCUAGCGUUCCGGAUCGAAUCGGAGAGGGGGCGGAGGGCUGACCUGGAGCAAGAAGAAUACGGUGAAGGCGGCGAGGAGGAGGAUGCCGUGGUCGCGCUUCCGCAUCUUGGCGGCGGCGAGGAGCUCCAGCGACCGCCCACCGAAGGGAUCUCGAAGAGGGAGGGGGCGGAGAAAGCAGAGUGUACCAACGGCGGCCACCGCUGGAGUAUGAGGGAGAGACGAGGAAAGUGAGAGAGGGGGAAAGUGAGGGAGAGAGUAGGGAUUCGGCUGAGGAUACGGGGAUUUCACCUACCUCGUACUUAGUAUUAGCGAGGGGUGUAAAACCGCGCUACUACUAUCAACUUAGUAGUAGCGCAGGUUUGUACCCCUCGCUACUACUAUGGCAUGUCCCGGGAGGGCACGGUAGAGAUCGCUUAGUAGUAGCGAGGGUUAAAAACCCGUGCUACUAGUAUCAACUUAGUAGUAGCGAGGGUUAAAAACGCGCGCUACUAGUAAGUAGCAGUAGCGAGGGUUAUAAACCCUCGCUACUAGUAAGCGUCUGCCUAUAAGCUUUUCCCUAGUAGUGAUCUCUCGGGUGUUAUGUUGACAAUGAAAGUAUACCGCCUAAAAUAUUAUUCACAUCUAUUUCAAAACCGAGCUCUGACACCUCUACAAAUCCCUGCUUCCCUCUGCGAAGGGCUUAUCUAUUUACUUUUAUGUUGAGUCAUCAUCCUCUUAUUAAAAAGCAUCAGUUGGAGAGCACCGCCAUUAUUUGCAUCCAUUACUAUUAAUUUAUAUUGAGUAUAACCAUUACUGGAUCUCUUUUACCAUGAAUUACAAUGUUUAGUCAGUCCUUGAUCUUCAAAGGUGCUCUGCAUUUAUGUUUUGCGAUCUCAGAAAGGGCUAGCGAGAUACCAUCUUGUUACAUCAUAUUAUGAUUGUUUUGAGAAAGUGUUGUCAUCCGAGAUUUAUUAUUAUUGCUCGCUAGCUGAUUAUGUCAUUGAUAUGAGUAAUCAUGAGACCUAAAUGUUAUUGUGAAUAUAGUUAGUUCAUAAUCUUUGUUGAAAACUUGAAUGCUGGCUUUACAUAUUUACAACAACAAGAGCAAACAUAGUUUGUAAAAGUUUUUCUUUAUCACUUUUAGUUUAUCAACUUAAUUGCUUGAGGACAAGGAAAGGUUUAAGCUUGGGGGAGUUGAUACGUCUCCAUCGUAUCUACUUUUCCAAACAUUGUUGCCCUUGUUUUGGACUCUAACUUGCAUGAUUUGAAUGGAACUAACCCGGACUGACGUUGUUUUCAGAAGAUGUUAUUUUUGUGCAGAAAUAAAAGUUCUCAGAAUGACCUGAAAAUCAACAGAGAUUAUUUUUGGAAUAUAUAAAAAAUACUCGAAGAAAGACCCACGUUAGGGGGCCCACACCCUGUCCACGAGGGUGGGGGCGCGCCUACCCCCUGGGCGCGCCCCUACCUCGUGGGCCCGCUGACGCUCCACCAACCUCAACUCCAACUCCAUAUAUUCGUGUUCGGAGAGAAAAAAAUCAGAGCAAAGGAUUCAUCGCGUUUUACGAUAUGGAUCUGCCGCCAAGCCCUAAUCUCUCUCGGGAGGGCUGAUCUGGAGUCUGUUCGGGGCUCCGGAGAGAGCAAUCCGUCGCCAUCGUCAUAAUCAACCUUCCUCCAUCACCAAUUCAAUGGUGCUCACCGCCGUGCGUGAGUAAUUCCAUCGUAGGCUUGCUGGACGGUGAUGGGUUGGAUGAGAUUUAUCAUGUAAUCGAUUUAGUUUUGUUAGGGUUUGAUCCGUAGUAUCCAUUAUGUUCUGAGAUUGAUGUUGCUAUGACUUUGCUAUGCUUAAUGCUUGUCACUAGGGCCCGAGUGCCUUGAUUUCAGAUCUGAACCUAUUAUUCCAUGAAUAUAUGUGAGUUCUUGAUCCUAUCUUGCAAGUCUAUAGUCACCUACUAUGUGUUAUGAUCCGGCAACCCUGAAGUGACAAUAAUCGGUACCACUCCCGGUGAUGACCGUAGUUUGAGGAGUUCAUGUAUUCACUAUGUGUUAAUGCUUUGGUUCGGUACUCUAUUAAAAGGAGGCCUUAAUAUCCCUUAGUUUUUAAUAGGACCCCGCUGCACGGGAGGGUAGGACAAAAUAUGUCAUGCAAGUUCUUUUCCAUAAGCACGUAUGACUAUAUUCAAAAUACAUGCCUACAUUACAUUGAUGAAUUGGAGCUAGUUCUGUGUCACCCUAUGUUAUAACUGUUGCAUUAAUAAUCGCAUCCGGCAUAAUUCUCCAUCACCGAUCCAAUGCCUACAAGCUUUUCACAUAUUGUUCUUCGUUUAUUUACUUUAACGUUACCACUGUUACAAUCACUACAAAACUAUCACCGUUACUUUUGCCACCAUUAUCGUUACUUCCAUACUACUUUGCUACUAAAUACUUUGCUGCAGAUACUAAGUUAUCCAAGUGUGGUUGAAUUGACAACUCAACUGCUAAUACUUGAGAAUAUUGUUUGGCUCCCCUUGUGUCGAAUCAAUAAAUUUGGGUUGAAUACUCUACCCUCGAAAACUAUUGCGAUCCCCUAUACUUGUGGAUUAUCACCUGGCGGCGUCGAUGUCGUCAGGGGCAACUAUGAGAUGAAUAUGAAAAUUUUCACAAGUGUUGGUUAUAUACCAAGAGCUUUGGUUCCGGUUCGUGGCACCAACCGGGACUAAAGGGGGGCACUAGUCCCGGUUGGUACCACCAACCAGGACCAAAGGUGGGUAUUGGUCCCGGUUAGUGCCAGCAACUAGGACGAAAGGGGGUGCUGCUGGCCAGAACUUUAGUCCCACCUCGCUAGCUGAGAGGCUCCCGCACCGGUUUAUAAGCGCGGCUCUGCCUCCCCUUUCGAUCUCCUCUGAACUGCAGGCUUACGGGCCUAAACACAAUGUAUCUUCCUAUGGGCCUACUGGGCCUUCUGCAGGCCUGAAUCCUGGCCCAUGGGUGGGUUUCUAGUCGUAUUCAGGCCGUGGUGGCCUAGUAGGUGGCAUUUUUUUAUUUUUUCCAGUUUUUUCUUUGUUGCUUUACUUUUUAAUUGUGUUAAUACUUACAACAAAAUACUUAAUGUUGUUAUUUCUAAUUAUUUUAUUAAAGUUUAUUUAUUUUAUUUUAUUAAAGUUNNNNNNNNNNNNNNNNNNNNNNNNNNNNNNNNNNNNNNNNNNNNNNNNNNNNNNNNNNNNNNNNNNNNNNNNNNNNNNNNNNNNNNNNNNNNNNNNNNNNNNNNNNNNNNNNNNNNNNNNNNNNNNNNNNNNNNNNNNNNNNNNNNNNNNNNNNNNNNNNNNNNNNNNNNNNNNNNNNNNNNNNNNNNNNNNNNNNNNNNNNNNNNNNNNNNNNNNNNNNNNNNNNNNNNNNNNNNNNNNNNNNNNNNNNNNNNNNNNNNNNNNNNNNNNNNNNNNNNNNNNNNNNNNNNNNNNNNNNNNNNNNNNNNNNNNNNNNNNNNNNNNNNNNNNNNNNNNNNNNNNNNNNNNNNNNNNNNNNNNNNNNNNNNNNNNNNNNNNNNNNNNNNNNNNNNNNNNNNNNNNNNNNNNNNNNNNNNNNNNNNNNNNNNNNNNNNNNNNNNNNCUAGAGGUUUACAAAAUCUUUUUAGUUGAUUCCUUUUGCUAUUAGAGUUUUAUAAAAGUUUUUUAGUUGAUUUUCUUUUUGCUAUUAAAUAAUAUCGUAGUUUUGUUUUAGUUGAUCAUAACAGAAUAUUUUAAUUGAUUUUUUAGCUAUAAGACCCUGAAAUUCAAAAGCAUUUCAAAUGAACUCUGAAAAAGGUUGAAAAUUGGCAAGGUAUCAUCAUUUCACCGACAUGGCAUGUGCUAAAAAGUAGAGAGGGUUACGACAAAAACUAGAUGCACUUCGUGUACAAAAUGGACAAUCUCUUUCGAAGUAUCAGGGUUUCAGACGAAAACUCAUCUGUUACAACAGGAUUUCAUUUUUUUUUGAACUUAUUUGAACUCCAGACUUCUUCUGUGUUCAAAAUGCACCAUUCAAAGCCACAUCAUCAAUUUUCAACCCUUUCUGACUUCAUUUUGUUAUUUUUCAUGCAAUCAUUCUACUUGUUUGCCUCAGCCACUUCGAGAAACAUAAUUAUGUGUGUCUGUCACCGUACAUCCAUUGCCGGUUUAUCUGCGUGAAUUAUAUAUAAUUAUGUGUGUCAAAAACCAUUACAGGUUCACAUGGAUAGAUAAGUAGUUCAUCAUCACAUUAAAACCAAAGUACACACAUAGUUCAAAUUGAACAACAUAUAGCUCUCCAGAGCAUCUACUUAAACCAUACAUUGAAACUAUGUAAAACCUUUCAAUGCAACAACAAAUGCGAUCAUAAUCACAACCAAGGUAACAAUUGAUCCAACGGCAUAAUGAUACCAAGCCUCGGUAUGAAUGGCAUAUUUUCUAAUCUUUCUCAUCUUCAACCGCAUUGCAUCCAUCUUGAUCUUGUGAUCAUCGACGACAUCCGCAACAUGCAACUCCAAUAUCAUCUUCUCCUCCUCAGUUUUUUAUUUUUUCCUUCAAGUAAUUGUUUUCUUCUUCAACUAAAUUUAACCUCUCGACAAUAUGGUCGGUUGGAAUUUCCGGUUCAACUACCUCCUACAUAAAUAAUAUCUAUGUCACAUUUGUCGGCAUAAUUGCCAUAAACAAUAAAUGAACCAAAUAGUUAUAAAAAGAUAAUAUAUACCACAUCCGAAUCAUAGCCAGGACGAGGGCCGACGGGGGCGGAUACCAAAACCAUCGCACUAUAUAAUAACAAGCAAUAAUAGAAGUAAGAAAAUUAGACAAGUAUCUAUCUAAAGUAAGAAUAUAUAUUUUUCAGAAAGAAGAUAAGAACAAGAGGCUCACCACGGUGGUGCCGGCGACGAGAUCGGCGCAGGCGAUCAACGGUGGUGAAGACGGGGACGAGACAUGAUGGACCGAUAAACCUAUGCAAAUCUCAGGGAAAUGGAGCUUGGAGGUCGAGAUUCGGGAAGAGAAAGCUUAACUAGUGUGGCUCGGGCAUUUCAUCGAACACCUCAUGUGCAUAGGAGCUGAGCUAGAGAACCCAAAUGCCCUUCCCUCGCCGGCCAGAAAAAUAUAGCACUGGAGUGCUCUGCUGCGGCGAUGGGGUAUAUAUAGGCAGCUCAUUUGUCCCGGUUUAUGGCUAGAACCGUGACUAAAGCUCCACCUUGUUUCCCGGUUCGAGCCACAAACCGGGACCAAUGUAUGUGGUCCAGGAGCGAGGCCCAUUGGUCCCGGUUCGUGCCUGAUACGUCUCUGUCGUAUCUACUUUUCCAAACACUUUUGCCCUUGUUUUGGACUCUAACUUGCAUGAUUUGAAUGGAACUAACCCGGACUGACGCUAUUUUCAGCAGAAUUUCCAUGGUGUUAUUUAUGUGCAGAAACAAAAGUUCUCGGAAUGACCUGAAACUCCACGGAGAUUAUUUUUGGAAAUAAUAAAAAAUACUGGCAAAGAAUCAAGGCCAGGGGCCCACACCCUAGCACGAGGGUGGCAGGCGCGCCGGCCCCCUGGGCACGCCCCCCUGCCUCGUGGGCCCCCUGGAGCUCCACUGACCUCAACUCCAACUCCAUAUAUUCGUGUUCGGGGACAAAAAAAUAAAGAAGAAGGAUUCGUCGCGUUUUACGAUACAGAGCCGCCGCCAAGCCCUAAACUCUCUCGGGAGGGCUGAUCUGAAGUCCGUUCGGGGCUCCGGAGAGGGGAAUCCGUCGUUGUCGUCAUCAUCAACCAUCCUCCAUCACCAAAUUCAUGAUGCUCACCGUCAUGCGUGAGUAAUUCCAUCGUAGGCUUGCUGGACGGUGAUGGGUUGGAUGAGAUUUAUCAUGUAAUCGAGUUAGUUUUGUUAGGGUUUGAUCCCUAAUAUCCAGUAUGUUCUAAGAUUGAUGUUGCUAUGACUUUGCUGUGCUUAAUGCGUGUCACUAGGGCCCGAGUGCCAUGAUUUCAAAUCUGAACUUAUUAUGAAUAUAUGUGAGUUCUUCAUCCUAUCUUGCAAGUCUAUAGUCACCUACUAUGUGUUAUGAUCCGGCAACCCCGAAGUGACAAUAAUCGGGACCACUCCUGGUGAUGACCGUAGUUUGAAGAGUUCAUGUAUUCACUAUGUGUUAAUGCUUUGGUCCGGUACUCUGUUAAAAGGAGGCCUUAAUAUCCCUUAGUUUCCGCUAGGACCCCGCUGCCACGGGAGGGUAGGACAAAAGAUGUCAUGCAACUUCUUUUCCAUAAGCACGUAUGACUAUAUUCGAAAUACAUGCCUACAUUACAUUGAUGAAUUGGAGCUAGUUCUGUGUCACCCUAUGUUAUGACCGUUACAUGAUGAACCACAUCCGGCAUAAUUCUCCAUCACCGAUCCAAUGCCUACAAGCUUUCCAUAUAGUGUUCUUCACUUAUUUACUUUUUCAUUGCUAUUGUUACAAUCACUAUAAAACACCAAAAAUAUUACUUUUGCUACCAUUACCUUUUACUACCAUUACCACUACUAUCAUAGUAAUUACUUUGUUACUAAACACUUUGCUGCAGAUAUUAAGUUUCCAGGUGUGGUUGAAUUAACAACUCAGCUGCUAAUACUUGAGAAUAUUCUUUGGCUUCCCUUGUGUCGAAUUAAUAAAUUUGGGUUGAAUACUCUACCCUCGAAAACUGUUGUGAUCCCCUAUACUUGUGGGUUAUCAGUGCCUAGAACCGGGACAAAUGGGUCCAGACGAACCGGGACCAAUGCCCACGAGGCCCCGGCCGGCCCCCUGGGCUCACGAACCGGGACGUAUGCCCCAAUGGGUCCCAGUUCGUGACUGAACCGGGACUAAUGGGCUGGCCAGGCCCGAACCAAAGCCCUGUUUUCUACUAGUGCCUGCUACCUCCGGGGGAAAUCCUAGAGCGGAUGAUCGGAUGACGGCAGCGCUCUAGUGUCGCUCCCCCCUUGGGGGCGUCAUUCUUGGAGGUGCACACGUGAUCGAGGGAUCAGAGGACGGAUUCUUUGGUGGAGCAGUGUUUCAUAUCACUCGUUGAUGGCGGCGGAUCUCGGUGGCAUGGCGCUGUGUUGACUCGGCGUCCGAUGCGCGGAGAUGGACUCGCGGAGGAGGGUGAUGCGGUCUGGCGUCGCGGUGGCAUCGACGGCAGCUCGACCGGGCAAGGUAGAUGCAGCAGUAUAGUUCUGAAGAUGGAUUGGUGGCAGGUGGUUGCGGCGGCCUCAUACCCGGCAAACGUCCAGGUUGAGUGUGCCGAACCGGUGGGUGCCCCAUUCCCGGCAGGGGUUCUGAAUGGGACCUCAGGUCUUAGAUGGUAGGUUUGGCUGCGAGGUCUAUUUGGUAUUAGGCCCAGACUAUCAGCAUCCCUUCGUUAAUUGGAUAGGAGUAGCGACAGAUGUUGCCUAGACGGUGGCUUUAGUCUUACUGUUGUAUUACUUUGUAAGGUCUUGUGUGAACAAUUAAUAAAAUGACUGCAUACGUCGUCCAGAUGCAGUGGCCGGGGGUCUUCCUCCUUUUGUAAAAAAAAAUAGAAAAAAAUAGCCAGAUACUUAUUCAUAUAGCAGUAGCACACGAACAGAGUUGUACGAGUCUAAUAGACCAGAAUUAAGAGAGACACCUAGAUACCACAAGAGGUUUAGCAUCAUAUGUGUAACAAAGGAGUAGUAGUAUUAUUUAUUCAUAUAUCUACCUUACAGACAAGUUAUGAGAAAUGAUACAAACCCUUAGCUACAGAUAUAUCAUAUAUAUGCCUCCUCCCUCCAUGCUAGUAGCGAUAGGUUUGCUCUUACACUUUUUUUUGGAAUUUUCACCGGGGGGGAGGGGGGGAGUUUCCCCCACCUGGAUAUUGAUCAAAUGUGGGCUAGGAUCUCAGAUGUUUACACAGACGGAAUUUUCAGAGACAGGGGGAGAAACAAGACUAGGGAGCGAAAGCCCUUAGCCAGGAGUCGACAUCAGCUCGAUCAUCACGACGGAGGUGGACACGCCACAGCUCAGUGUCUUCCCUACAGCACCGCAGGGCCCUGGCCAUGGACGGAUCCCGUCGUUGGAAAACCACGGCGUUGCGUCACUUGCUGUCUCAGCCAGGGAGUUCAAGUGGCAAACCGAGGCCCCAUCAACGCACAUCCCGAUUUUUUACCAGAACGUGCCCGCGAAUGGACAGGAGAACAGCAAGUGGUCGGUUGUCUCGAGGGGGGCGGUGCAGAGAGGGCAGCCGGCCUCAUUCGCAGCGACGAUGCACUUCCGCAGCAGGACGUCGCGCGUGUGAAUGCGCCGCUGAACUAGCAGCUAGCAGAAGAACUUGAUUCGGGACGGCACAUGCGCACCCCAGAUCAUGGCAGCGUGCGGCGCGGUCACCCCGCCGAACCGCAGGAGGCUAUAGAUNNNNNNNNNNNNNNNNNNNNNNNNNNNNNNNNNNNNNNNNNNNNNNNNNNNNNNNNNNNNNNNNNNNNNNNNNNNNNNNNNNNNNNNNNNNNNNNNNNNNNNNNNNNNNNNNNNNNNNNNNNNNNNNNNNNNNNNNNNNNNNNNNNNNNNNNNNNNNNNNNNNNNNNNNNNNNNNNNNNNNNNNNNNNNNNNNNNNNNNNNNNNNNNNNNNNNNNNNNNNNNNNNNNNNNNNNNNNNNNNNNNNNNNNNNNNNNNNNNNNNNNNNNNNNNNNNNNNNNNNNNNNNNNNNNNNNNNNNNNNNNNNNNNNNNNNNNNNNNNNNNNCCUUUGUGGCGGUAAUUAGAAACAUCUUAGCUAGAGAGUCUCUCAGAGUGAAAAACACUAAGAACAUAUAGCAGUAGCAGGUAGAUACAGUUAUACCAGUCCAAUAAAGCAUAAUUAAUUAUAAGACUGACGCAUAAGCAAAGUUACUUGUUAUAAACAAAAUUACAUGUGGUUGAGCAAUCAAAUAGUCAAGGCCACAUAGACGCUUGUACAAUUCAGGAUCUCACACAUCAGCUAUCGGUUGCUUUCAACAAUAUGUCGUGAUUGAUUAAUAUAAGAGUCUUGCACCACAUCAGAAAUUAACUAUACUACUUGGCUGCCAAAUAUAGAAUCACUAUUCACUCACCAGUCGCGACGAGUCCUCGCGUCGCUCCCAGGGGGCGGCACGGCGAAUCCUAGCCGCCGCCGCCCCCGUUUUCCCCACCUCCACCCCAGCCCCCCUCGCCGCCGCCAGGUGAAUCUGACGGGCAAAGUCCGCUCGGCUUUCGGCGGCGGCGGGGACUUCUCCUCGCGAGACGCGUAGCAGCGGCCCUGGACGAUGCGAGGUGACUGGCGGCGGCGGCGGCCUCUCGCCGGCGUAGGCAAGCUGGGCCGGCAGCCCCGGGCAUGGUGGUGGCGUCGUUCUCUCUUCUCCUCCCUCCAUGUGGGUCGUGUGGGGUGGUGCUGGGCCAGCCGUCGUGGAUCUGGCGCCAGGAGGCCGGAUCCGUCGGUGGGGCUGCUGAGGCGUGUGCCUCCGGCGGCUGCAUGUCCGGCUGGUUGAGCUGCGGUGGUGGCGGCGUGCUACAGCUCCUGGAUGGCGGCGCGUCGACGCCGCGUAGGUGGAUUUGAUGCGGCGGUCGUGGGGAGCGGUCCCUGGCCUCUGGGGCGGUGUGUGCUCUGCCUGCUCCGGCCGUGCCGGCAGUGGAGAGGUGGUCCUGGCUGUUGGUGGCGGCUCCGGGUCGGUGUCGUGUGGCAUGGCCGCUGGUGCUUCCAGUGAGGGUGGUGGCUCCCUGGACGUGUCAAGGGCUGCGGCGCGAUGGGCUGUCCUCACGGCAGUAUGGUGAUGGUGGUUGUCGUGGGGCUCUGGACGAAAGUUCCUACCUGACUCGGUCGGUGCCGGUGACGGCGACGCUCUAUUGUGCCGUUUCCAUCUUGAUGGAAUCGUCGAGGAGCCCCGACCCGCCUCCAACCAAAGGAACCUCGUCUUCCGGGUGAAAACCCAGAUUUAGUUUGCUGGAUCUGAUGGCGGCGGCGUCUUAUUGGACGUCGUUUAUCUUUCUUGGAGGCGCCAUCUUUGGUGACGAGGUUCGGUUGGCGCUUGUAGCUUUUGCGCUUCUGGUGGUAUACCGAGACGAUGGAUGCCGGAGCGGUGGCUCCGGAUGGUGGAUGUAUGCCGAGGCAGCGGCCUCGGAUGGUCAUGCAACGGCGGUCCUAUGGGGUAGGUCCGCUGCUUUGCUUGGCAUGGGCGGCGACCUAGUGCUGCGAGGGCGGCCAGUUCGUCGGCUCGGUCGAUGCGAUCUGUGGAGUCGGUCUGGCUGGAAGUCGGGGAAGAACCCCGGAUGUUUGGUACGGCGUUCGUGGUCUGCGGGCGGUCGUCUCAUGUAGCAAGGGCUAUGAGGCACCUGAACCAUGCGGCGUUGUGGCUCACGUGCGGGCGGGGGAUGUCGGAGCGGCGGCUCCGGAGUUGGGGUGUGUGUGUUUGUUGCAAUGUUGCCUUAGGUUGUGUGGUCGGCAAGGGUUCGUUGUGUGUGCGGUUUUUCGGUCUGAUUUUCGUCAUAAACCGGGUCGCUCUAUUAGGUUUCCGGUCUGGUUUUCCUCAUAAACUGGAUCAAUUCUCUUCUUGUAUAAUGCAAAGCCAGAGCACCUAGCCCUCUGACGAGGUUCCAUAAAAAAACUUCGUUGCCAAUUGUUAUCACCCAUUGCAAUAACUUCAACUCUAUGCACAAGGACCCUAUAUAGAUCCAGUUUUUUCACCUUAACUCUAAAGAGUUUCUAGUAACUUACAUGAGCUAGUCCGCGUCUAGCUAUGUAACAUAGGUAAUCAUUACCUAGUUUAUCGAUCUCACUUUUGCAGAUUCCUAACUCACCUACUACCAUAAGCACUAGUAGUGGGGUACAAACCAUUAAUUAGUUCCAUAUAAUUGAACUUCCUCCUCCCAUUCCACUAGGUAUAGGGGCUUGUAUUCAUGCUUCAAUAGUUCCCGCUCAAAUAUCAUGUCUUAUCGCAACUCAGUUUGCUUUUCUUCUAGGUUAUUCAUUCACAUAGGAGGUGAUUGAUCGCUAAUGGCAAGCACAAAAAGAAAAGAAUCUUUCAGCUUGAACAAGAUGAAGGAACGAUUUUAGGACAUGAAAACCUAAAAUUAUACAUAACCGAAUACUACAAGUAGUUGUUUGGGCCUCCGGAGGAUAAUUGUGUAUCCCUAGAUGAGUCUAGGAUUGAGGAUGUUCCUUAACUGGCUGCAGAUGAGAAUGAUAUUUUGACUGCCCCAUUUUUGAAGAAAGAGGUGUUUGGAGCCAUUUCACAGAUGAAAAAUAAUAAUGCUCCAGGGCCGGAUGGAUUUUCGGCGGAGUUCUAUAAAAAGUGCUGGCAUAUUAUUAAGAAGGAUUUGAUACCAAUGUUCCAUGAUUUAUUCUCUUGACAGCUUUAGUUAUUUCACCUAAAUUUUGGAACGAUAACCUUGCUUCCUAAGAAAAUAGAGGAUGUGAGAAUUGAGCGGUUCAGGCUGAUCUGUCUUCUUAACGUUAGUUUUAAAAUUUUCACCAAGGUCAGGACUAAUAGGCUCACACAGAUUGCGCAUUCUGUGGUGCAGCACUCCCAAACUGCUUUCACGCCAGAUAGGAACAUCCUAGAAGGGGUUGUGGUCCUUCAUGAAACGCUCCACGAAAUGCACACGAAAAAACUAGAUGAAGUUGUUUUCAAGGUGGAUUUUGAGAAAGCGUACGAUAAAGUCAAAUGGCCUUUCUUUCAACAGGCCUUGCGCAUGAAAGGUUUUAAUGAUAAAAACUUCAAAAAAUAAAAUCCUUCGAGAUAUAGUUAUAUUACUACAUCUACUAGUUAGGAAAAUUAAAAAACUUAAAUUUGGACAUGUUUUGCAAAAAAUGCCAUGAAAAAGUAAAACGGCUAUAACUUUUGCAUAUGAUGUUGAAAAAAACGUAUAAUAUAUCAAAAUGUUCAGCACGAAAAUCCGCAUCCUUUUUUGAUGGCCUAUGGCCUGUUUGCAAAUUUUUAGAAUCCUCAAAUUCUAAAAGGAAAAAAAGAUAUGCUCAAAUUUCAGUUUUUUAUUUUUGUUAAACUGGUCAAACGAUGGGAAAACUACUUAUUCAAGAAGUAUUAGUGUUACUACAUAGUUAUUCAAGAAUGUUAGUGUUACUAAAUAAUUAUUUCAAUUUUUUGAAUUUUGAUCAAAUCUGGUCAAACUAUGGUCAAACUACUUAUUCAAGAAAUAUUAGUGUUACUAAAUAAUUAGUGUUUUUUAGAAUAAUAGUUUCAAACUCAAACAGUGAAACAUGUGACUUAAUGCUCAAGCUAAACUCCUGAGAGUUAAUAGGAUUGGCAUCUUACUAUUCUCAGAAAAACAACAAGUGCAGACUUGGAAACGAGGGGGAAUAGAACCCGGAAGUUAAGCGUGCUUAGGCUGGAGUAGUGAGAGGAUGGGUGACCGGCCGGGAAGUUAGAUGAUUUGGAAUGAUGAGGGGUGAUUAGAGAUUAGAGGUUAAAUUGAGCAGUGAUGAGGGGUGAUUAGAGAUUAAAUUUGAAAAUAGGGGAAAAAAUCAAAAAAAUCGUAGAAUUUCCUUUGGUGGAGCUUCAAAUAGCAGCCACAUGGAGGGUCUUUAGUCCUGGUUGGUAUAAGAACUGGGACUAAAGGGGGGGCUUUAGUCCCGACCCUUUACCGAGACUAAAGGCCCUGUAGUACCGGGACAAAUGGCCAUUUUUCUACUAGCACUAGGACUGGGGAGUUUAUGUUGGAAAUAUGCCCUAGAGGCAAUAAUAAAUUGAUUAUUAUUAUAUUUCCUUGUUCAUGAUAAUCGUUUAUUAUCCAUGCUAGAAUUGUAUUGAUAGGAAACUCAGAUACAUGUGUGGAUACAUAGACAACACCAUGUCCCUAGUAAGCCUCUAGUUGACUGGCUCGUUGAUCAAUAGAUGGUUACGGUUUCCUGACCAUGGACAUUGGAUGCCGUUGAUAACGGGAUCACAUCAUUGGGAGAAUGAUGUGAUGGACAAGACCCAGUCCUAAGCCUAGCACAAAGAUCGUGUAGUUCGUAUUCUAAAGCUUUUCUAAUGUCAAGUAUCAUUUCCUUAGACCAUGAGAUUGUGCAACUCCCAGAUACCGUAGGAAUACUUUAGGUGUGCCAAACGUCACAACGUAACUGGGUGGCUAUAAAGGUACACUACAGGUAUCUUCGAAAGUGUCUGUUGGGUUGGCACGAAUCGAGACUGGGAUUUGUCACUCCGUGUAAACGGGGAGGUAUCUCUGGGCCCACUCGGUAGGACAUCAUCAUAAUGUGCACAAUGUGAUCAAGGAGUUGAUCAUGGGAUGAUGUGUUACGGAAUGAGUAAAGAGACUUGCCGGGAACGAGAUUGAACAAGGUAUCGGGAUACCGACGAUCGAAUCUCGGGCAAGUAUCGUACCGCUAGACAAAGGGAAUUGAAUACGGGAUUGAUCGAAUCCUCGACGUCGUGGUUCCUCCGAUGAGAUCAUCGUGGAACAUGUGGGAACCAACAUGGGUAUCCAGAUCCCGCUGUUGGUUAUUGACCGGAGAACGUCUCGGUCAUGUCUGCAUGGUUCCCGAACUCGUAGGGUCUACACACUUAAGGUUCGAUGACGCUAGGGUUAUAAAGGAAGUUUGUAUGUGGUUACCGAAUGUUGUUCGGAGUCCCGGAUGAGAUCCCAGACAUCACGAGGAGUUCCGAAAUGGUCCGGAGGUAAAGAUUUAUAUAUGGGAAGUCCUGUUUUGGUCACCAGAAAAGUUUUGGGUUUUAUCGGUAACGUACCNNNNNNNNNNNNNNNNNNNNNNNNNNNNNNNNNNNNNNNNNNNNNNNNNNNNNNNNNNNNNNNNNNNNNNNNNNNNNNNNNNNNNNNNNNNNNNNNNNNNNNNNNNNNNNNNNNNNNNNNNNNNNNNNNNNNNNNNNNNNNNNNNNNNNNNNNNNNNNNNNNNNNNNNNNNNNNNNNNNNNNNNNNNNNNNNNNNNNNNNNNNNNNNNNNNNNNNNNNNNNNNNNNNNNNNNNNNNNNNNNNNNNNNNNNNNNNNNNNNNNNNNNNNNNNGGACAAACCCUAAGGGCAGAUGGGCCUUAGGGCCCAUGCCUGGUGCGCCUCCCUCUCCCCUCCACCUGGCCGCCACCCAGAUGGGAUAUAGGGGCUGCCGCCACCCCUAGGGAGGGAACCCUAGGUGGGGGCGCAGCCUCUCCCCUCCCCCUAUAUAUACCUGAGGUUUGGGCUGCCCAAAACACAAGAGUUCCUCUCCUUCUUGGCGCAGCCCUACCCCUCUCCCUCCUCGUCUCUUGCGGUGCUUCGCGAAGCCCUGCUGGAGUACCACGCUCCUCCACCACCACCACGCCGUUGUGCUGCUGCUGGAUGGAGUCUUCCUCAACCUCUCCCUCUCUCCUUGCUGGAUCAAGGCAUGGGAGACGUCACCGGGCUGUACGUGUGUUGAACGCGGAGGUGCCGUCCGUUCGGCACUAGGAUCUCCGGUGAUUUGGAUCACGACGAGUACGACUCCUUCAACCCCGUUCUCUUGAACGCUUCCGCUUAGCGAUCUACAUGGGUAUGUAGAUGCACUCUCCUUCCCCUCGUUGCUGGUUUCUCCAUAGAUAGAUCUUGGUGACACGUAGGAAAAUUUUGAAUUUCUGCUACAUUCCCCAACAGUGGCAUCAUGAGCUAGGUCUAUUGCGUAGAUUCUAUGCACGAGUAGAACACAAAGUAGUUGUGGGUGUUGAUUUUGUUCAAUAUGCUUACCGUUACUAGUCCAAUCUUGAUUCGGCGGCAUUGUGGGAUGAAGAGGCCCGGACCGACCUUACACGUACUCGUACGUGAGACUGGUUCCACCGACUGACAUGCACUAGUUGCAUAAGGUGGCUAGCGGUUGUCUGUCUCUCCCACUUUAGUCGGAUCGUAUUCGAUGAAAAGGGUCCUUAUGAAGGGUAAAUAGCAAUUGGCAUAUCAUGUUGUGGUUUUUGCGUAGGUAAGAAACGUUCUUGCUAGAAACCCAUAGCAGCCACGUAAAACAUGCAAACAACAAUUAGAGGACGUCUAACUUGUUUUUGCAGGGUAUGCUAUGUGAUGUGAUAUGGCCAAGAAGAAUGUGAUGAAUGAUAUGUGAUGUAUGAGAUUGAUCAUGUUCUUGUAAUAGGAAUCACGACUUGCAUGUCGAUGAGUAUGACAACCGGCAGGAGCCAUAGGAGUUGUCUUUAUUAAUUGUAUGACCUGCGUGUCAUUGAACAACGCCAUGUAAUUACUUUACUUUAUUGCUAACCGGUUGCCAUAGUAGUAGAAGUAAUAGUUGGCGAGCAACUUCAUGGAGACACGAUGAUGGAGAUCAUGAUGAUGGAGAUCAUGGUGGCAUGCCAGUGACAAGAUGAUCAUGGAGCCCCAAGAUGGAGAUCAAAGGAGCUAUAUGAUAUUGGCCAUAUCAUGUCACUAUUAUUUGAUUGCAUGUGAUGUUUAUCAUGUUUUUGCAUCUUGUUUACUUAGAACGACGGUACUAAAUAAGAUGAUCCCUCAUAAUAAUUUCAAGAAGGUGUUCCCCCUAACUGUGCACCGUUGCGACAGUUUGUUGUUUCGAAGCACCACGUGAUGAUCGGGUGUGAUAGAUUCUAACAUUCACAUACAACGGGUGUAAGACAGAUUUACACACGCGAAACACUUAGGUUGACUUGACGAGCCUAGCAUGUAUAGACAUGGCCUCGGAACACAAGAGACCGAAAGGUCGAGCAUGAGUCGUAUGGUAGAUACGAUCAACAUGAAGAUGUUCACCGAUGAUGACCAGUCCGUCUCACGUGAUGAUCGAACACGGCCUAGUUGACUCGGAUCAUGUAAUCACUUAGAUGACUAGAGGGAUGUCUAUCUGAGUGGGAGUUCAUAAGAUGAACUUAAUUAUCCUGAACAUAGUCAAAAGGUCUUCGCAAAUUAUGUCGUGGCUCGCGCUUUAGUUCUACUGUUUAGAUAUGUUCCUAGAGAAAAUUUAGUUGAAAGUUGAUAGUAGCAAUUAUACGGACUAGGUCCGUAAACUGAGGAUUGUCCUCGUUGCUUCAUAGAAGGCUUAUGUCCUUAAUGCACCGCUCAGUGUGCUGAACCUCGAACGUCGUCUGUGGAUGUUGCGAACAUCUGACAUACACAUUUUGAUAACUACGUGAUAGUUCAGUUAAACGGUUUAGAAUUGAGGCACCGAAGACGUUUUUGAAACAUCGCGAAACAUAUGAGAUGUUUCGAGGGCUGAAAUUGGGAUUUCAGGCUCGUGCCCACGUCAAGAGGUAUAAGACCUCCGACGAUUUUCUUAGCCCACAAACUAAGGGAGAAAAGCUCAAUUGUUGAGCUUGUGCUCAGAUUGUCUGAGUACAACAAUCAUUUGAAUCGAGUGGGAGUUGAUCUUCCAGAUGAGACAGUGAUGUUUCUCCGAACGCAUUACCACCAAGCUACUAGAGCUUCAUGAUGAACUAUAAUAUAUCAGGGACAUAUAUGAUGAUCCUUGGGAUAUUCGCGAUGUUUGACACCACAAAAGUAGAAAUCAAGAAGGAGCAUCAAUUGUUGAUGGUUGGUGAAACCACUAGUUUCAAGAAGGGCAAGGGCAAAAGGGGAUACUUCAUGAAAUGGCAAAUCAGCUGCUGCUCUGGUGAAGAAACCCAAGGUUGAACCCAAACCCGAGACUAAGUGCUUAUGUAAUAAGGGGAACAGCCACUGGAGCAGAAUUACCCUAGAUACUUGGUAGAUAAGAAGGCUGGCAAGGUCGAUAGAAGUAUAUUGGAUAUACAUUGUGUUGAUGUGUACUUUACUAGUACUCCUAGUAGCACCAGGGUAUUAGAUACCGGUUCGGUUGCUAAGUGUUAGUAACUCGAAAUAAAAGCUACGGAAUAAACGGAGACUAGCUAAAGGUGAGAUGACGAUAUGUGUUGGAAGUAUUUCCAAGGUUGAUCAAAUAUCGUACGCUCCCUCUACCAUCAAGAUUGGUGUUUGCGUUGAGCAUAGACAUGAUUGGAUUAUGUCUAUCACAAUACGGUUCUUCAUUUAAGGAGAAUAAUGGUUACUCUGUUUAUUUGAAUAAUACCUUCAAUGGUCUUGCACCUAAAAUGAAUGGUUUAUUGAAUCUCAAUCGUAGUGAUACACAUGUUCAUGCCAAAAGAUAUAAGAUAGUAAAUGAUAGUACCACCUACUUGUGGCACUGCCACGUAAGUCAUAUCGGUAUAAAACGCAUGAAGAAGCUCCAUGUUGAUGGAUCUUUGGAUUCACUCGUUUUAAAAGGUUUGAGACAUGCGAACCAUGUCUAUUGGUGUAUAUGCAUGAAGAAACUCCAUGCAAAUGGACUGUUUGGACUCACUUGAUUUUCAAUCACUUGAGACAUGCAAAUCAUACCACAUGGGCAAGAUGACUGAAAGCCUUGUUUUCAGUAAAAUGGAACUAGAAAGCAACUUGUUGGAAGUAAUACAUUUUGAUGUGUGCAGUCCAAUGAGUGCUGAGCCGUGUAGUGGAUAUCGUUAUGUUCUUACUUCACAGAUGAUUUGAGUAGAUGUUGAGUACAUUUACUUGAUGAAUCACGAGUCUGAAUUAUUGAAAGGUUCAAGUAAUUUCAGGGUGAAGUUGAAAGAUCGUCGUGACAAGAGGAUAAAAGAUCUAUGAUAUGAUCAUAGAGAUGAAUAUCUGAAUUACGAGUUUGGCACAGAAUUAAGACAUUGUGGAAAUUGUUUCACAACUAAUACAGCCUGGAACACCAUAGUGUGAUGGUGUGUCCGAACAUCAAAACUGCACCCUAUUGGAUAUGAUGCAUACCAUGAUGUCUCUUAUCGAAUUACCAUGAUAGUUUAUGGGUUAGGCAUUAGAGACAACCACAUUUACUUUAAAUAGGGCAUCACAUAAGUCUGAUGAGAUGACACCAUAUGAACUAUGGUUUAGAGAAACCUAGGCUGUCAUUUCUUAAAAGUUUGGGGCUGCGACGCUUAUGUGGAAAAGUUUCAGGCUGAUAAGCUCGAACCCAAAGCGGAUAAGUGCAUCUUCAUAGGACACCCAAAACAGUUGGGUAUACCUCCUGUCUCAGAUCCGAAAGCAAUAAGGGAUUGUUUCUAGAAUCGGGUCCUUUCUGGAGGAAAAGUUUCUCUCGAAAGAAUUGAGUGGGAGGAUGGUGGAGACUUGAUGAGGUUGUUGAACCGUCUCUUCAACUAGUGUGUGGCAGGGCACAGGAAGUUGUUCCUGUGGCACCUACACCAAUUGAAGUGGAAGCUUAUGAUAGUGAUCAUGAAACUUCAGAUCAAGUCACUACCAAACCUCGUGGGAUGACAAGGAUGCGUACUACUUCAGAGUGGUACGUAAUCCUGUCUUGGAAGUCAUGUUGCUAGACAACAAUGAACCUACGAGCUAUGGAGAAGUGAUGGUGGGCCCGGAUUCCGAUAAAUGGCUCGAGGCCAUAAAAUUCGAGAUAGGAUCCAUGUAUGAAAACAAAGUGUAGACUUUGGAAGAACUACUUGAUGGUCGUAAGGCUGUUAGGUACAUAUGGAUUUUAAAAGGAAGACGGACAAUGAUUGUAAGUAUCACCAUUAAGAAAGCUCGACUUGUCGUUAAGAUGUUUUCCGACAAGUUCAAGGAGUUGACUACGAUGAGACUUUCUCACUCGUAGCGAUGCUAAGAGUCUGUUGGAAUUAUAUUAGCGAUUACUGCAUUAUUUAUGAAAUCUUGCAGAUAGGAUGUCAAAACAUUGUUUCCUCGACGAUUUUCUUGAGGAAAGGUUGUAUGUGAUACAACCGGAAGGUUUUUUCAAUCCUGAAAGAUGCUAAUAAGUAUGCAAAGCUCCAGCAAUCCUUCUAAGGACUGGAGUAAGCAUCUCGGAGUUGGAAUGUAUGCUUUGAUGAGAUGAACAAAGAUUUUGGGUGUAUACAAAGUUUAUGAGAAACUUGUAUUUCCAAAGAAGUGAGUGGGAGCACUAUAGAAUUUCUGAUGAAUAUAUGUUGUUAACAUGUUGUUGAUCGGAAAUGAUGUAGAAUUUCUAGAAAGCAUGCAGAGUUAUUUGAAAAGUGUUUUUCAAUGGAAAGCCUGGAUUAAGCUACUUGAACAUUGAGCAUCAAGAUCUAUACGGAUAGAUCAAAACACUUAAUGGUACUUUCAAAUGAGCACAUACCUUGACAUGAUCUUGAAGGUGUUCAAGAUGGAUCAGUCAAAGAAGGAGUUCUUGCCUGAGUUGUAAGGUAUGAAGUUAAGACUUAAAGCUCGACCACGGCAGAAGAAAGAGAAAGGACGAAUGUCGUCCCCUAUGCUUUUGUCAUAGGCUCUAUACGGUAUGCCAUGCUGAGUACCGCACCUGAUGUGUGCCUUGCCACAUGUCUGGCAAGAGGUUACAAAGGUGAUCCAGGAGUGGAUCACCAGAUAGCGGUCAAAAUUGUCCUUGGAGUAAUAAGGACAUGUUUCUCGAUUAUGGAGGUGAUAAAGAGUUCGGCGUAAAGGGUUACAUCGAUGCAAGCUUUAACACCUAUCCGAAUGACUCUGAGUGGCAAACCGGAUACGUAUAGUGGAGCAACCAUUUGGAAUAGCUCCAAGUGGAGCGUGGAAGCAGCAUUUAUAAUAUGACCUAGAGAUUUGCAAAGUACAUACGGAUCUGAAUGUUGCAGACCCGUUGACUAAAACCUCUCUCACAAGCAAAACAUGAUCAAACCCAGAACUCAUUGAGUCUUAAUCACAUGAUGAUGUGAACUAGUUUAGUGACACUAGUAAACUCCUUGGAUGUUGGUCACAUGGCGAUGUGACCUGUGAGUGUUAAUCACAUGGCGAUGUGAACUAGAUUAUUGACUCUAGUGCAAGUGGGAGACUGUUGGAAAUAUGCCCUAGAGGCAAUAAUAAAUUGAUUAUUAUUAUAUUUCCUUGUUCAUGAUAAUCGUUUAUUAUCCAUGCUAGAAUUGUAUUGAUAGGAAACUCAGAUACAUGAGUGGAUACAUAGACAACACCAUGUCCCUAGUAAGCCUCUAGUUGACUAGCUCGUUGAUCAAUAGAUGGUUACGGUUUCCUGACCAUGGACAUUGGAUGUCAUUGAUAACGGGAUCACAUCAUUGGGAGAAUGAUGUGAUGGACAAGACCCAAUCCUAAGCCUAGCACAAAGAUCGUGUAGUUCGUAUGCUAAAGCUUUUCUAAUGUCAAGUAUCAUUUCCUUAGACCAUGAGAUUGUGCAACUCCCGGAUACCGUAGGAAUACUUUGGGUGUGCCAAACAUCACAACAUAACUGGGUGGCUAUAAAGGUACACUACAGGUAUCUCCGAAAGUGUCUGUUGGGUUGGCACGAAUCGAGACUGGGAUUUGUCACUCCCUGUAAACGGGGAGGUAUCUCUGGGCCCACUCGGUAGGACAUCAUCAUAAUGUGCACAAUGUGAUCAAGGAGUUGAUCACGGGAUGAUGUGUUACGGAACGAGUAAAGAGACUUGCCGGGAACGAGAUUGAACAAGGUAUCGGGAUACCGACGAUCGAAUCUCGGGCAAGUAUCGUACCGCUAGACAAAGGGAAUUGAAUACGGGAUUGAUCGAAUCCUAGACAUCGUGGUUCGUCCAAUGAGAUCAUCGUGGAACAUGUGGGAACCAACAUGGGUAUACAGAUCCCGCUGUUGGUUAUUGACCGGAGAACGUCUCGGUCAUGUCUGCAUGGUUCCCGAACCCGUAGGGUCUACACACUUAAGGUUCGAUGACGCUAGGGUUAUAAAGGAAGUUUGUAUGUGGUUACCGAAUGUUGUUCGGAGUCCCGGAUGAGAUCCCGGACAUGACGAGGAGUUCCGAAAUGGUCCGAAGGUAAAGAUUUAUAUAUGGGAAGUCCUGUUUUGGUCACCGGAAAAGUUUCGGGUUUUAUCGGUAACGUACCGGGACCACCGGGAGGGUCCCGGGGGUCCACCAAGUGGGGCCACAAGCCCCGAGGGCUGCAUGGGCCAAGUGUGGGAGGGGACCAGCCCCAGGUGGGCUGGUGCGCCCCCCCACAAGGGCCCAAGGCGCCUAAGGGGAGGAAGGGGGCAAACCCUAAGGGCAGAUGGGCCUUAGGGCCCAUGCCUGGUGCGCCUCCCUCUCCCCUCCACCUGGCCGCCACCCAGAUGGGAUCUGGGGGCUGCCGCCACCCCUAGGGAGGGAACCCUAGGUGGGGGCGCAGCCCCUCCCCUCCCCCUAUAUAUACUUGAGGUUUGGGCUGCCCAAAACACAAGAGUUCCUCUCCUUCUUGGCGCAGCCCUAUCCCUCUCCCUCCUCGUCUCUUGCGGUGCUUGGCGAAGCCCUGCUGGAGUACCACGCUCCUCCACCACCACCACACCGUUGUGCUGCUGCUGGAUGGAGUCUUCCUCAACCUCUCCCUCUCUCCUUGCUGGAUCAAGGCAUGGGAGACGUCACCGGGCUGUACGUGUGUUGAACGCGGAGGUGCCGUCCGUUCGGCACUAGGAUGUCCGGUGAUUUGGAUCACGACGUGUACGACUCCUUCAACCCCGUUCUCUUGAACGCUUCCGCUUAGCGAUCUACAAGGGUAUGUAGAUGCACUCUCCUUCCCCUCGUUGUUGGUUUCUCCAUAGAUAGAUCUUGGUGACACGUAGAAAAAUUUUGAAUUUCUGCUACGUUCCCCAACAGUUUACAGAUAAAUCAAUGUAUCUCGAUGUUAUUAACUGUAGUUCCAUUCCUAGUUCCAAACAUGUUUGGAAAGUCAAAGUUCCUUUGAAAAUUAAAGUGUUUAUGUGGUUUGUACAUAAACAAGUCAUCUUAACCAAGGACAAUCUGGCAAAGCGUAACUGAACAUGACCUACUAGAUGUAGUUUUUGUGAUCGGGAUGAAAUUAUCAAACACUUUUUUCUUGACUGCCCGCUGGCAAGAGUGCUAUGACGGACGGUGCACAUAGCCUUUAAUAUUACUCCUCCGAUUUGUGUCAGCACGUUAUUUGGAACGUGGCUUAACAGGAUAGAAGCCGAAACGGCGAGACACAUUCGCGUAGGAGUAUGUGCUUUAUUGUGGGCAGUCUGGAACCGAGAAAUGAUUUGGUUUUUAACAGAACAACAAAUAUUCAUUUUUUUUGCAGGUUAUCUUCCGAGCCACUGCGUUGAUCCGUAUGUGGUCGCUACUCACUCCGACGGAGGCCAGGGAGCGUUUGGUUACUUGAUUUAUCCGGUGGGAGAUGGUAGCACGGGAUAUUUUCAACUGGUUUGGAUGGCCGUCAUGUAAUAGGAUAGGCAAUUAGUUUCCCUAUCUUUCCUAUGCCAGCCGGCUGUGGCUUUUUGGCUACUUUUUUUGGCUCUUUAUGAGCUUUUCUCUACUUUUUUUUUAGACUUUAAGACCUUCGUUGAACAUAUUUGCUUAUUCAUUAAGUUGACCAUAUGCAUCGUUCUGAUGCAGAGCCUGAGGAGUCUCUCCUUUUCGAAAAAAAAACAUAGGAGGUGUUUCGGAGCUCCUAAAAACACACCUCAAGUUUGGUGCGACUUUUGAACAUUUUACAUUGAAAACAUGUGGUCAUUUCAUGUCGCCAAGGCAAACUAUAUUGGCCACCUGAAUUUGAUAAAUGUUCUAUAUUUAUUUCUAUGAACAAGGACGGCGGAUGCAUGAUGAGCACAACAACUGCAAUCCAGAUUAGCAGUAAGACGCUCACAACAUAGAUCGGGUAACUAGGACGAACUUGGUUACAGAAUCUCUUAAGAGUGAGUAAUACUAAUUACAUAUAGCAGUAAGCAGGUGAACAGAGUUGUACCGUUGGAUGAGUUGAAUUAAGAGCGGUGCCCAAACAAAGUUACAUCUUUUAAUAGCUUUUAUGAAGAGAUUGAGAAAGCAGAGAGUCAUCACCACAUAAACUUGAAUAAUUCUGGGUCUCGCACAUUAGCCGCUAGCUGCACUCAACAUAUGUUGUGACUGAUUAAUAUAUGGGAAGCGUGCGCCACACCUUGAAUUCAUAAUAAUACGUACUUCGUUCUCAAAUGUUAUUGCCCGUCACAAUUUUCUUGGAUAAGAAUGGAAUGGCCCCGGCCUCUAUCUAUUAUUCAACUCUAUGGAUAAAUCAGUAGGUGCAGAUUCUCUAGCAGCUUAUUGAGAAGUUAGUUUGUGUAUAUCUAUGUACCAUCAAGCGUCAUUAACUAAUUUAUUCACCUCAUCUUUAUGGAGUCAUUCACCUAUCUACCUUAGGGCCGGGUAAUGAGAGAGGGCACAAAGCCUUAGCCGAUAUAUAUUAAACUUCUUCCUCCCAUGCCACUAGGUACAUGUUUGCCCUCAUAUGACCGCAGUUCCCACUCAAUACCAUGACUUAUCAUGUCCUCAUUUCCUUGGCUUCUUGGUUGUUCAUAGGCAUAGGACGUAUCUGGAAUCUCCCAAAAACAUCUAUGGUAGCGGCUGCAACUUUCAUGAGCCACUUUAGUUGUCUGUAGCGCCUCAUAGCUACAGCUGCUGCUUGCUUCGCAUCAGCUCCACAGAGAGUCAGUCGCUAGUUAUUCAUGGCUUCAUGCGUUGCUAGUUUCAUGUGAUGGGUGCAGUUGAACUCUGCAUACCAACAUCGACGUACUUCUUUAUUUCUUUUGUCUAUCAUGGUAAACAAAAGCUUGAUGUACUCGAUAAGCCCCCUUCCUGGAGACGCCGCCUUGGAGCCCAUGCAUGGUUCGUCAUGCUCGGCUUCGUCUCAUUGUGGUGGCAUGUCAAGGAAUGAGGCCCCCGGCAUCUCCUUAGUGAUGUUUAGUUGUCGGUCUGGAGCUAUUUGAGGUUGUGUAGCUGUUUUCACCGCCUUUAUAUCCUGUCAUAGUUGUGUGCGUUGUGGUGGCUUGUGUUUGUAUCGGUGUGUUUGCAUCGGCUGGCCUGAUGAUUGUUGCUUUAUAUAUAAAGUUGAGAGAAAUCCUUUUUUGGUAACACUAUUCGAAUAGGUAGGAUCGCCGAGUGCCGGGCUGUUUGACGACUGCUUUCUGUCCGACAAUCGGCAAAGGCCCUCCUAAACCGAGUGUGAAGGAAAAACUUUCGGCAUUGCAUAUCUAAAGAGUGCUGCUAUGCACACGAUGAUGUUCAAACGAUCUGUGGACGACAGCGUAUAUCGGUCCGUCUACGUAUAGCAGUCAAGUGCCACCGACGGCUGGAUCAGGCAUCGUCCCGCUGUCGUGCAUGUUGUGUCGUUCGCACAGCAGUUCCGAUAUCUAAACACACUCGGCAAAGAUCCUGGCACUCGGUAAAACCAGGUGACACAUGUCCCUGUUAAUCAUGGUUAACGGGGGUGACGGCGCGGCCGUGUCUGCCGAUUGCCUAUCAGGUGGCACCUGACAAAUAUUUUUUGCUGAUCUACUUCCUCCGUUCUUAAAUAUAAGUCUUUGUAGAGAUUUCACUAUGAACAACAUACGGAUGUAUAUAGAUGCAUUUUAAGUAUAGAUUCACUCAUUUCGCUUCAUAUGUGCUCCAUAGUGGAAUCCUCCAAAGACUUCUAUUUAGGAAUGGAGGGAGUGUAUUCUUUGUUGAAUGGCUGACAACAAGCACUCUCCAAACAUGAUCCAUCUAUUUGUGGUUUUAUUCUGUGUACUCAGAAAAGAUAGCUAUAUCAUCAAGUGUACUAAGAUUUUACCCAAAUUUGGGCACUCUGAAAGGAACCUAAGGAAAUACAAGAACUUUGAAAUUGCAUGAUAAGUGGAACAGGGUGGUUGAACUGAAAGAAAUGAAGGCAUGCCUUCAUAUGUUAACUAUGACACUCGGCAAAGUGCACACAUUGCAGCCACUCGGCAAAGUGCACACAUUGCAGCCACUCGGCGUGCCAACGAAGGAAGGCGAUCUGGUGCUCCAUUGCCGGCGUCUCGAUCAACAGCUUGUGGCUGUCCCUCGGCCGCUUGGACGGGUCGGUGUGGCGGCAGCGCUCCAUGGCCGGUGCGGGCGCCGGUGGCGUGGGGAAGAAAAGAUGGGAGCGAACCGGGCCAUGGCCGGCAGCAGAGCCGCGCCCCACCAUUGACGAUCUGCCGCCCUGGGAGUUGCGAGGAUCUUUGGGGCAGUCGCGGGCAAUGUGGCCUAGGAGCUUGCACCCGAUGCAGUGGAUUGAAUCUCUACAGUCUACACGGCGAUGCUCUGAGCUUAGACACCGGAAGCAGAGCCCCUUGAAACGCCUUAAAAAGGCCUUGCGCCCGGCGCUCGCAUUGAAGUUGGGUCGGUGGCAUUGACGCCGGCGCGGCCAUCCGCCGGAAAAUGUGUGCGCGCUGGCCUGGCGCGCGUUGCGGGACUGGACCUCUAUCCUGACAUUAUCAUAGCCCGAGGAGGAGGGGCAGGCGCAGGGAGACGGUCUAACUACGAUGGACUUUAGGCGAGGAUGCCCAGAAUGGCGAAGCCCUGCAAUGUCCGGAGCGGCGAGGUCGGCUGCGGCCUUGGAGCACUCACCUCGCAGCAGGAUUUCCAGCUAAGGGCCGGGAGAGCCGUUGGUGAGUUGGGAGACGGCGGGUUGCCCGGAUCUGCCAAUGGACUGCUGGGCAGAACGGAAUCUGGGACAGACAUGGGGCGGCCCCAUCCCUAAGUACAUCUUUUUUUUUUUUUGAGGGGGAUCCCUAAGUACAUCUAUGUCUCGCGUCGUAUACAAAUUGCAUAGGUGCUGGGCCGGCCCAUUAAGCCACCACGUUCAAUAUAAGCGCAGCCUAAAAAUACAGGUAAAAUGGAGAGAUUAUAUGAGGAUUUGAAAUCAAGACCUCCCACUAAACAACACAUGACGAUAGCCACUUCAACCAACCACUGCCUGUGUUAUGUUCCAGCGAGAAAUAUCUAAGAAAACACAGUAGCAUACAUAUAUAUGAAAUAUUUUCUGAAAAAAUCUGAAACUUUUAUUAAAAAAAACACGAACAAUUUUAAAAUGCCGAAAAGUUUUGGAAUUUGUGAACGAAAUUUCAGCAAUUUUAUUUUGAAAGUGAACAAAAUUUCGAAACACAAACAAUUUCCGAACAUAUUUCGAAACAUGAAGANNNNNNNNNNNNNNNNNNNNNNNNNNNNNNNNNNNNNNNNNNNNNNNNNNNNNNNNNNNNNNNNNNNNNNNNNNNNNNNNNNNNNNNNNNNNNNNNNNNNNNNNNNNNNNNNNNNNNNNNNNNNNNNNNNNNNNNNNNNNNNNNNNNNNNNNNNNNNNNNNNNNNNNNNNNNNNNNNNNNNNNNNNNNNNNNNNNNNNNNNNNNNNNNNNNNNNNNNNNNNNNNNNNNNNNNNNNNNNNNNNNNNNNNNNNNNNNNNNNNNNNNNNNNNNNNNNNNNNNNNNNNNNNNNNNNNNNNNNNNNNNNNNNNNNNNNNNNNNNNNNNNNNNNNNNNNNNNNNNNNNNNNNNNNNNNNNNNNNNNNNNNNNNNUUCAGAAAUAUUAUUUUAAUAUUGUGAACUUUGUUUUCAAAUUUCUGAACGUUUUUACACAUCCAAAAACUAAUUUCAACUUUAUGAACUUUUUCCAGUGCCUGGGAUUUUUUUUUAAUUGUGAACAUUUGUUUUUGAAAUUCAUGAUUUUUUUUCAAAUCCAUGAAUGCUUGGGCAAGCCCAGCAGCCAGCCGACAGGAGAGAUGCCAUUAUCUAGUUGGGCUAAAGCCUAAGAUUUUUUUUAUUUUCUAUUUUUCAUUAAAUAUUUUUCUCCUUUUCGAAACCUAUCAAAAAAAUUUGAAAUAUUUUUGUAAUGCCAAAAAUGUUCAUAUUUUCAAACAGUGUUCACAAUUUUUAAAAAUAUUCUGAAAUUAAAAAAUUUGUUCAUGUUUUCAUUUUUUGUUCACAAAUUUAUGAAAUGUUUGCAAUUUGUGGAUAAUAUCAAUUGUUGGGAAUUUUUCCACAAUUUUAGAAAAAGUGUUCAAGUUUAUAAAAUUUUCAUACACAACUUGGAAUUCCAUAGUUGUUCACUAAUUUCAAUAGAUUGUUAGGAUAUGGAGAAUGUUCAUGUUCAUAGAUAAUACCAAAAAAUGGAAAUAACAGAGGCAUUCUUUAUUAGAAACUACAUGCUCACUGAUGCACCCGGUUGGCCUAGUCUAGCACACUCUUCUCAAUAGGUGUUUAUUUUCUAAGGAUGAAUGACCCCAACUUCUUACAACAGCCUGACACGGAUAUAUGAAACAUCCAUGUCAGGUUUGAACAACAUCUGACACUGUUUGCAUGUUGUGACACAUCUGCCCAUUUAUCAACCCUUUUCACUGAGAAAACACUAGAAAAUGCAAAACUAGUUAAAAGUACAAACAAUUUGGCACGAUGCAUUGAAUUUAUCAUAGAAGCUGGUGGGAAAAAAAUUAGAGUCAUUCAACGGAUGUCGAAAACCAAUGUGCUUUCAAAAAGACCCUUCUCAUGGAGAUGGUGCAGUUUACAAGAGACCUCCGGUUAGGCUUUGGCGAAACGCGUUAAAACUUUCACCGCCCCCCUACAAGGGCCAUAUGAUGACACCGUGCCAAGUCCCGAGGAUUUCGGGCAUCGUAUGAUUUUUGGUUGAUUUUAACAGCUGGAUCUGGAAUGCCGCCUAGGUACAUUCGCCUCCGGGUGGUGGGGCAUGCCCCUCCUUUGGUUGCAUUAGGCCUACACAUACCACAAAGACAUCAUAUAUGUUUUGAAAAACCACUUCUAGACGGGCCCGAAAAAUGCCAUGUACUGACACGUGUCAUGCAAUUGCCCCCUUUGAGAGGACGAGAAGUUUCGAGGUCAAUGGAGCAACGGGCAACACACUUCCUUCACAAAUUGGACACGCACUCUCUCGAUAGCCGGAUACUACCUCGGAGAUGGUGCAGUUUACAAGCGACCUCCGGUCAGGCUUCUACGAAACACGCUAAAACUUUCAUCACACCCUACAAGGUCCAUAUGACGACACCGUGCCAAGUCCCGAGGAUUUCCGGUAUUGUAUGACGUUUGGUCGAUUUUAACGGCUGGAUCCGGCAUGCCGCCGAGGUACAUUCCCCCCGGUGGUGGGGCCUGUCCCUCCUUUGGUGUCGUCGGUCGAUGGUGAGGAACAUCGCAUGUGUUGUCGUCGACGGUGACGGGGAGAGCCGAAGAGAUGUUCCGUGCGACUGUCCGUAGGUCCCCGUCCGAACUCAUAGUCGUCAUACCGAACACACCAUUCCCCGAUCCAUUCCCUCCCCACCUCACCAGACCAUCUCCUCCUCGCCGCCCUCCUCUCCCCUCACGGAUCAUCGACGGUCGGUGCAAGAGAGUAGAAAAAAUUAGAAGAAAAACAAAAGGGAAAACACAAUUGUAUGAGCUUCAUUUCUAUUGGUGGAAAAGUUUGUGCGACGGAUCGAUGACGUGGCGCAUAUCCAUCCAUCUAUCCACCUAGUUGUCCACCCCACAACCUUCCAUCCAUCCAUCUAGAGAAAAGGAGAGAAAAAAGAAAAAAAAGAAAAAAGAGCCCACCCAACCCCUACCUCGCUCUCUCCCCACGAACCUCUCUGUCUCUCGCGACCCCUCUCACCCCACGAGCCUCUCUCCCUCGCGCCGCCGCCACCCACGCCGGCCAGUUCCGGCGAGCUCCGGCGGCGCGCAGCACACCCCGAGCUCCCCUAGGUCCGCUCCACCUCCCCCUACGUCCAGAAUCGGCGCUCCCGCCGUCCACCGUCCCCGUGGCUAGCUAGGGUUUUGGCCGCCACAUCUAACAUCGCUAGGAUCAGCCACAUCCGGCGACAGCGAGGCUAGAGCUCGACGGAUCCAUUACCGGCGUGGCACAGGUACGUCCUUCCCCUCUUUCCUCGCCCGGAUCCACCCUCCCCACCGCACCUUCUCCUUUCCUUCCCUUCCUGCAGGUCACCUUGGCGCGGUCUGGAUGACGACGACGGCAGGAGGGCGCCGUCCUUCCUACUCGAGGAAGUGGAGGACGAGGGGUACACCUAGCUGUCAGCCCUGUCCUUUAUUUAGAAUCCUGGUUCUUUAGUUAGAUAGUACCAAUAGGGAUUGGUUAAUUUUUCUGCUACAACUCAAACGAAGAUGAGGAGCGAGGUGUGAGUAGAAGGUGAUGAAAGUCGACGCAACGCUGAGCCAAACCCACUCCUUACCGACGCAACCAAGCUGUGGUUCUCUUAAGUCACGAAGCUGGAUAUAUCCUUCACCGGUAGCUAGUUUGAUCUAUCCUGAUGGACAAUCUAACAUACAUAGCAGUAGUUGCUUUUUUAUCAUUCCCCCACCGGCCAGAGCACAAUGUACACACACAGAGAGGAAAUCUCUAGUUAGCUUUUUUUUUAUUUUGUCCCCUAAUUAGAAGAAACUACUCAUUCUUACUCCCAGCAAGUGGGGCUGGCAGUAUCAUCCUUGAUCUAUAUUUUUUGGAUGGUUAGUCAAAGAGCACGUGAUUAAUAAAUUAGAGGAAAUGCAGGUUACUUUGUUGUUUCCCCUAGAUCUGUUCUGACGAACAUGCAUAUGCAUCACACUAAUCUGCUUCAUCAUAAUUAUUGAAUCCAAGCAUGUAAGUCGCCAUAGCAUUUGCACAUCAAUCCAGAAAUGUUUCAUUACUCAAGUUUCUACUUUUAGUUUUAGGGCCAUUUGCAUUUCUGUCACUAACUCGAACCACCUAAUCAGAUAUACUCCUAAUUUGAAAGUUUGCUCAAAUUUGUCCCUCCGCCGUUUGGUGUCCUUAUAGAAAUGCCCUUCUGCGCCGUUAACGUGCGGUCAAACAGCUUUGACCGUCCUAAAAAAUAUAGCAAAAAAAUCUAAAAAAUCUAAAAUUUUGUGAGAUUGAAGAUACUCAUGUGCCCAAGGUGUGUGCAAAUUUUCGUGCUAUUUGGACAUUCCAGGAGCUCGUGGCGAGGAAAAAUAGUUAAUCUGCACAUUUGUGAACAAUAAAUUUGAAAUAAAAUAGCAAGAAAAUUAAAAAAAUAUGAAAAAAUUUGGCAUCAAAGUGGCUUGGGUGCACAAGGUGCUUGCAAGUUUUUGUGAUCAAAUGACAUGUGAGGAGCUCUAGCAAGAAAAAACAAAAUAGUCAUUUUUUCCCAAGUUUUUUUCCGAGCAAAAUUUUGUUUUUUUCUCCACAAGCCCCUUCAAUGUCCAAACACAACAAAAAUUUGCACGCAACUUGCAGACCCGAGCCUCUUUGAUACCAAAAAAUUUUAUAUUUUUUUGAAUUUUCUUGCUAUUCACUACAGGAAACGGGUAAUUUGCCGUAUGUGGAUCACAGACGGCAAAGAUUUUGCCGUCUGAAAGUAGACGGCAAACUCAGACGGCAAAGACUUUGCCAUCAGCCAAAUUUACUUCGCCGCCAACCUUAUAAAUAAGAGACGGCAAAGAAUGCGGUCUUUGCCGUCAGUCAAAACAUUUUCUUUGCCGUCAUCAAGACUAAACUAAAGAUAGCAAAGAUUGCUUAUAUUUUUUUAAAUAACAUCAGUCGAAGCGUUCAGAGGGCGGCCACUGCUGCUUUGGCGAGCAAGCCAUUCUUCGGCGUCAUUACAGAGAUUUGCAAUACAGAUCCAAUGAAAAUGAAUGUAUAUUUCUUUAACAAAAAAACGGAUUUACAAGCUAGCCAUUCUUCACAUGUAUACAUACGAGCAAGAAUAUCCUACGAGUAGCAAAUUCUAAGUGUUCUCCACAUCAGAUUCACACACGGACAAGUGCCAGAAUACAUCAAAUUCAGAUCCACUUAAAAUGCAUCAAGAAAGCAACACACACAUUGCUAGCAUGGGCAGCCUAGAUCCAUCGGGAAGUUGCAGCGCUGCAACCAAACCAAAUGUGUACAGGGCCCCUGUCACAGCCAGCAAGCAUACUAGAGGCAGCAACAGUGCGACGAGGACGGGCAUGCCAACGCGCUGGUGGCGGGGUCCGAAAGCGGAGGCCGGCUUGGGCAGGAGCAGCGACGCGGCUGGGGCGAGAGUCAUUGCCGAACCUGCUGCUGGGGCGGCACACACCGGCAGAUGGAUCUAGCACGCGGGCGGCUCAAGCGGCCACGCACAUGAAUCCUUGGGGCGGCGAUGCGGUUGACGUCGGGUGGCGCGAAGCUCCGCGGCCGUCCAUGGAGUCGGGUGCCUGAGAGGGAGAGGGCAAGGGAUGAUGCAUAGGGGAUAGAUAGAGAACGAGGAAUAUAGGCAGGAGGAAGGAGACGGAGCUAGGAGCAGCGGAGCUUGAGACGGAGCUAGGAGCAGCGGGAGGUAGAAGUGGAUCUCGGCUGGGAGGGAGCAGAGGCGUGGGGGACGGGAGAGAGACAAGAGGAUAAGGGAGACAGAGAAGAGGAUAAGAGGUGGAGGUGGAUCGUGCACAAAAGAGCAGCGCGCGGUGGUGGAUUGCUG
rnacentral:lncRNA from 1 species